rnacentral:sRNA from 2 species
CGAACCGUAUUACUAGUCAAGAUACCCAAAGAGGAAGAAGAAAUGGAUCACUUCCGAUGAAGCCCGUAGACGCACAAAGUCAGAGGCAAAAGCUCCAUGGAAUAACUGCAAAAUUGAUUCUUAGGUAAUAAUACUAAAAAAACCAAACGCGCUCAGUGUGAAAAUUCAAUCGUUUUCUGCAAGAAACUGCCUUGCCGAGCGCCGAAUCUCGAACAGGGCGGCCACUAACCAGUAGCCCACAGGGCUGGACGCCAGUCAUGACACUGUUGGUUGAGCUGCCCUUUGAUUGAUGAGAUUAGUGUGGGGUUUGAGACUGAGCAGUUUGCCGAGGGAACCAACCAUUGCUCUUGGGUCGACUAUGGGGACGAGACGUUUGC